rnacentral:rRNA from 1 species
GACGGGGGAUGCAAGUGUUAUCCGGAAUCACUGGGCGUAAAGCGUCUGCAGGUGGUUUCCUAAGUCCACUGUUAAACCUUGAGGCUCAACCUCAAAUCUGCAUUGGAAACUAGGAGACCUGAGUAUAGUAGGGGUAGAGGGAAUUUCCAGUGGAGCGGUGAAAUGCGUAGAUAUUGGAAAGAACACCGAUGGCGAAGGCACUCUACUGGGCUAUUACUGACACUCAGAGACGAAAGCUAGGGGAGCAAAUGGG